UGGGAUGUCUGGUGGAGCCACACUCACAUGGGUUGAUUGCCAAGAAUCAUGUGAAUCCUUCAAACUCUAGUGUACUAAAACUGGCCUUGAUUUUGAAAUUACUACGCCCACAAGGAACCAUCGUAUGUCCCUGUUUAAGCCACUUCGUUCCCACCAAGGCCCAGGGGCUUCCUCUCGAGAGAUACUGCGGUCGGAGGAUCUGACCCAUCUAACAAAAACACAAAAACAAGUGUUAAAACUUUGAAUUUGAAUCCUGUGGAAGCUUAUUUUAAACACUCCAAACCCAGUUGCCAUACUGAUUUGUUGUGUAGCGUGUUAAGUUUUUGGUUCCUUUUUGAGAGAAUGUGACAGUGUUGCCAGUAUGGCAAACAUAAAACGCUACUCUGAACGUUGGCUUUAUGAUCUGGAAAGAUGAUAGAAAAGACAAGAGAGAAUAAUAUCAUGCACAAACUCUGUAAUACAAGAGGGGGUUGAGACGUUAGGAUCCUUCAAGAUGGGUCCGCCUCCACAUCUCAUGCCUGUUUUCCAGUAAAGCUCAGUGUUAGUAGGAGUGAAUGAAGAAAUCGAGAACGAACCACCCGACACGCUCUCUUCCCGUUCCUUGCAUUAGAAGCAAACUUGAUUGUUCAGAUUGGUCCCAGCACAAACUUCCUCCAGUUUUACAACCAAGAUAGUAGGUGCUGAGAGUGCUGCUCUGUUCUGUGAGGAAUGUCAUUGCAAAAUGCAGCAGUUUCAAACACAGUGCACUUCAGAAAAUGGCUAAGAGAAGCAAGGAAAGGCAGGUUCAACUAUUUCUGGGGAUUUUCGGGACUAUUUUUACGAGGUUUUAUUCAACUAUAAGGGCAAAAUUCUAACUUCGAAGUCGUUAAAUGUGAAGGACUAUUACCUGAUCAAGUCGGUCAGCCAUAUUAGCUCUAUCAA